UACGGGGGGGGCGGAAGCGUUGUUCGGAAUUACUGGGCGUAAAGGGCUCGUAGGCGGCCAACUAAGUCAGACGUGAAAUCCCUCGGCUUAACCGGGGAACUGCGUCUGAUACUGGAUGGCUUGAGUGUGGGAGAGGGAUGCGGAAUUCCAGGUGUAGCGGUGAAAUGCGUAGAUAUCUGGAGGAACACCGGUGGCGAAGGCGGCAUCCUGGACCAUUACUGACACUGAAAAGCGAAAGCCAGGGGAGCAAACGGG
rnacentral:rRNA from 1 species